UACGUAGGGGGCAAGCGUUGUCCGGAAUCAUUGGGCGUAAAGAGCGCGUAGGCGGUCCGAUAAGUCGGUUGUGAAAACUGGGGGCUCAACCCUCAGAGGCCGACCGAUACUGUCGGGCUAGAGUCCGGAAGAGGCGAGUGGAAUUCCUGGUGUAGCGGUGAAAUGCGCAGAUAUCAGGAGGAACACCAAUGGCGAAGGCAGCUCGCUGGGACGGUACUGACGCUGAGGCGCGAAAGCUAGGGGAUCAAACGGG
rnacentral:rRNA from 1 species